UACGGGAGGCAGCAGUGAGGAAUAUUGGUCAAUGGGCGGAAGCCUGAACCAGCCAUGCCGCGUGCAGGAAUAAGGCCCUACGGGUCGUAAACUGCUUUUGUACGGGAGCAAUAAGGGUCACGCGUGGCCCGAUGAGAGUACCGUACGAAUAAGCAUCGGCUAACUCCGUGCCAGCAGCCGCGGUAAU
rnacentral:rRNA from 1 species